AACGAACGCUGGCGGCAGGCCUAACACAUGCAAGUCGAGCGAGAUCUUCGGGUCUAGCGGCGGACGGGUGAGUAACGCGUGGGAAUAUGCCUCUUGGUACGGAAUAGCCUCGGGAAACUGGGAGUAAUACCGUAUGUGCCCUUUGGGGGAAAGAUUUAUCGCCAAGAGAUUAGCCCGCGUUGGAUUAGGUAGUUGGUGGGGUAAUGGCCUACCAAGCCGACGAUCCAUAGCUGGUUUGAGAGGAUGAUCAGCCACACUGGGACUGAGACACGGCCCAGACUCCUACGGGAGGCAGCAGUGGGGAAUCUUAGACAAUGGGGGCAACCCUGAUCUAGCCACGCCGCGUGAGUGAUGAAGGCCUUAGGGUUGUAAAGCUCUUUCAGCUGGGAAGAUAAUGACGGUACCAGCAGAAGAAGCCCCGGCUAACUCCGU
rnacentral:rRNA from 1 species